CGAGGUGGCUCCACUCCUUCCCAUCCCGAACAGGACAGUGAAACGCCUCUGCGCCAAUGAUAGUGCGGAUUCCCGUGUGAAAGUAGGUCAUCGUCAGGC
rnacentral:rRNA from 1 species